UACGUAGGGUGCGAGCGUUGUCCGGAAUUAUUGGGCGUAAAGGGCUCGUAGGCGGUCUGUUGCGUCGGGAGUGAAAACUCAGGGCUUAACCCUGAGCCUGCUUCCGAUACGGGCAGACUAGAGGUAUGCAGGGGAGAACGGAAUUCCUGGUGUAGCGGUGAAAUGCGCAGAUAUCGGGAGGAACACCAGUAGCGAAGGCGGCACUCUGGGCCGGUACUGACGCUGAGGUAGCGAAAGCGUGGGGAGCGAACAGG
rnacentral:rRNA from 1 species